ensembl:lncRNA LINC01592 long intergenic non-protein coding RNA 1592
GAAGAGGAAGAGACAUUAGGGAUGUGAGUGCAUAAAGAAAAGGCCACGUGAGGACACAGCAAGAAAGUGGUCAUCUGCAAGCGCAAAAGACAGGCCUCAGAAGAACCCAACCCUAUUGACACUAUGAUCUUGGACAUCCAGCCUCCAGAACUCCGUUAACAAACCAUCUGUAUGCCUAAUAUUGAUGCUGUCUUUCCCUAGUGUACUGGACAACCUAAGACAGGGAAAUAAAGAUAAAGUUUGGAUUGAAGAGUGAGGAGCCAAAAUAAUGCAGCUUCACAUCUCCUUAAUGGACAGAAGACUACACUGUUUUUGCUGCACCCAGAGAUAAAAUUAUUGGUUUUGGAGUACCUUCACUGAUGCCAGGGGUGUCAUCUUUACCUUCCAUCACAUAAUAUAUAUAAAGAGAAUUUUUCUUAGCUUUAAAUGAGUUGAUAAGAGGACAAGAAGAAAGUCAAGGACUCCAUUUCCAGGAUUAAAAGCGGUUUUUUCCUUUGUCUUCCAAAUCCUAGCAGUAGAAGCAUUUGAGUUCUGCAGAAAUUACUGAAGUGGUUCAAGUGUGGGCAGUCAGGACACUCAGCCCACCAUACUCAACCCCAACUCAACCUCAACUCUCAGUACGGCAGAGAGACGGAGAACUCAGAGCUAUAACUUUCAGGAAUUCUCAAAACCUCAGACAAAAUGCAUCUUUGUUUUACCACCUGUUAAAGUAUAUCCUCAUCUGCCUCAGUGCACAUAAGUAUACAACACUGCAGAUUGUGUUUAACUUCAUUUGCAAUUAAUUUAACGCAUUUUGUAUCCAACAUUUCUACUAGGAAAUAGUAUUAGUCUAUCCCCAAACUAAAAUUCACUGCAAAAAUGUAAUUCACUCAAGAAAAAUAAUGAUAAUUCUUCAAACACCUUGAGAUGUCAUUCAACAAUCAUACCCAAUGGGUAAAAUUUAGAGUUCAACAUUUAGCUUGCAUUUCUUUCUAACCAAACAUCUCAAGUUCAAAAAAUAAAGCAGAUUGUUUUGUGCAUUUGUUAUCACUACCACAUCAAUGGUCACCUACACUUCCUGAGCCCCAAAUAGAACUCUCAGAGAAGCAUUGUGUAUUUGUCAAUAUCCUGGAGUUUCAAAACUCCCAAGUGUUGCCACCAUUUGACCUGAAAUUUCCUCUCUUCUCAGAUUCCUGCCUCUAAACACAAAACAAACAAACCUUUACUUAACUUAGCUCAUGUGUGAAUUUUUAGGGUCAUUUGUUUCAUAUCCAGAAAGACUUCAAGUCUCUUUGCUAAAUUUUGAUUUACCUAAGGCCAGUAGCCUGAAUUCAACUUUAGCAGUCCCAGGGCUCAGUAGAUUUGCCCUGUAGAUUCUGUAAUUGGAUAUUUAUGUUCCAUGUAUUUCUUCUUUCAGAGCAUAGCAGAAGUAUAGGGAUAACACCUUAGCUGAAUGUUGGCCCUAAAAUAGCUGCUCAUUUGUAGCACUCAGACGAAGCUGAAAUUAUUCACAUUCAGCCGACAUUUCCGUUAGGUGAGAUGCUGCCUGCUAAUUCACAUUUGCCUGGGAUUGCUCCUCAGAGUUCAGAUUUAAUUUUGAUAACAUCAACUCUAUCAUUUAAUAAAUAAUAAGCAGUAAAAAA